CUGUAGCUGUAUUAUAUCUGUAUUUGUACAGAAACAGUAAGAUACAGAUAUAAUAAGCAUAACAUUAGCUGAUGAAAAGUGAAAUGCGCGUGUCCAUGGCGCUCAAGUCUGUAUGCACCUCAAGAUUAAGAGUAGAUUAACUGAUAGAAUAAAUUUAAUAUUUCUUUGAAUAAUUUCUUCAACUAUUUGAAAUAUUUAAUGGAAUUUACCAGAUUAGAUUCUCUAUAUUAUGCAUACACACUAUAAGUACACUAUAGUCAGGUCCACGUUAUAAUGGCAGUAUUUGUUUAGCAACAUCAUUUGACAAAGCAGAUUGCGCUAUCCUUUUAUAGCUCCGCAACGGUGCCAGAUCUUUUUUUAACAAUGUAGAAAUAUAAUUAUUUAAAGAAAUAUUUAAUCUCAAGAAAAAUUGUUAUUCCAUCAUUGAUAAAUUUAUUUUCUUGAAUAAAAUAUAUAAUUAUUUUAAACAAGAAUGCCCAAAGCAUUCAUUGUAAAAAUACUUUGGAAUUUGCUCAUCCCAUUGGUAGAAAAUUAUUAAUUUCGAAUGAGUACUUUGGUAAUUAUGAUUAUCCGAUAAAUCUUUUGUGGUGACUAACUUAUUUUAAUAGGCUGGAUGGAUUUUGUGUAAAUAAAUAAAUUUUUCCUCCACCUACUGUCUAAAGUGCUCACUUUACUCCCUGGAAUAUAAUACUAAAGUGUCACUUUUUCGGUCUCGGGUCGAAAAAACUCCUUAAGGUAGGCGCACACAGAUCGUCAUCGGACGGACGGCACGCAUCGGAUGAUUAGAUUUGAUGCAUUGUUUUCAAUUUGAAUGCGCAUACCUAUAAGGAUGCGGAUAGGUAUGCGCACUCCAAUUGAAAGCAAUGCAUCAAAUCUAAUAAUCCGAUCCGUGCCGUCCGUCCGAUGACGAUCUGUGUGCGUCUACCUUUAGGGGGUGAAACGUAAAAGUAACUCUAUUUAAAUAACAUGGGAAGCAUCUCUUUUUUAAAAACUUACGUUUGAAAUAGGUUAGAAGGUUUAAGCUCAGAUGAGGAAACAUAAUAGAGGUGUCUGUCAUUGAGUCAAUCAGUCAACUGAAUUCAACACCUCAAACAGAAAUUUGAUAAACACAUGAAAUAUAUGUUUGUAUAAUAUCACAUACUUAAUAUUAGUAGACGAUAAAAAUGUAUACAUAUUUUUAAAUAUAUUAUGCUAUUCAAAAUAUCAGCAAACAAAUAUUUUUCAUCUUCAAUUCAAAUUUGAAACGCGCGAGCGAACUUGAGUCAGCCAUUUCUGAUUGUCGGCCAGCUGAUAAUUGUUACAACUUUUGCCGAUAGAUAGCGCAAUCGGCAGUGCCAGACGACCGGUUUUUAGAUUUCAGGUUAUCUUGUAAAAUAAAACCUAGUCACCAAUAACGUGAGUUAAUAAAAUUAUUUGAUUUGCAGUUUCUGUAAAUGUAGGUGAAGGAAAAAUAUGUUGUGUACAUCACGAGUGAAAAAUGUUUUUUCUCCCUCAGGAAAAUUAUUGCCCUCGGCUUCGCCUCGGACUUCAAUCUUUUUCCUCAGGGAGAAAAAACAGUACUUUUCACUCUAGAUGUACAAAUAUUUAUUAUUGUCCUAAACCAACAUUGGUAAUUGACAAAGUCGCAACAGUAAACAAAAUCACCAAUAUGCAUGCAUUCAACUAUUUUUAGCCUACUAUCAAAAAAUUCGUUCAAACACUGUUAAUAAAACAUUUGAUCUCUGUAGGCAAAUUAUUAAAGAUUCCUAGUCCUAUGCUGUCAUAAUGCUUCAUGCUUGUGACUAGACGUUGAUUUGGUAUAUCAGUUUGAUCUUUACACCUUGUAACAUCAGCACGAAUUUUGCGUCUUAUCUUGAAGUUAGGUAAGUUUGUUAUUGUAUAAAGAGUUACAUUGUAAAUAUACAAAUUUAUGAAUAAAUAGUUUCUUAAUAAGAG